GACGAACGCUGGCGGCGUGCUUAACACAUGCAAGUUGAACGGGGAUAUUAAUUUCGGUUAGUAUCCUAGUAGCGGACGGGUGAGUAACGCGUGAGCAACCAACCUUUGUGAGGGGGACAACGGCUGGAAACGGCUGCUAAUACCGCAUGAGACCACGGUUUCGCAUGGAACUGAGGUAAAAGAUUUAUCGCACAAAGACGGGCUCGCGUCCCAUUAGCUAGUUGGUGAGGUAACGGCUCACCAAGGCAACGAUGGGUAGCCGACCUGAGAGGGUGAUCGGCCACACUGGAACUGAGACACGGUCCAGACUCCUACGGGAGGCAGCAGUGGGGAAUAUUGGGCAAUGGGCGCAAGCCUGACCCAGCAACGCCGCGUGAGGGAAGAAGGUCUUCGGAUUGUAAACCUCUGUCCUUGGGGACGAAAAAAAUGACGGUACCCAAGGAGGAAGCUCCGGCUAACUACGUGCCAGCCGCCGCCGUAAUAC
rnacentral:rRNA from 1 species